CUGAUGGCGGCAAGGACAGCACGUGGCAGCUCCCGAAGCAUGAACACGACCGCACCUCGGGCCUGCCGUCUGCCAAGAUAUGGGUGAGUUCUCGUGCUGCCAACCAUAAACCCUCACGUCCUACAAAUUCCUCAAACCCUACCGUCUUGAUCCCGUCCCCGCUCUGAUCCAAAGGACGAUGCAGCUCCGGCCGAUUGACAAUGGAGGUGUGGGAUCCUUCCUCUCAGCACCCACUCCUGGAAGAAUCAGUGGCGUGCCACGCCGAUUGAACCCCGUCGAGAUCACUCGCCACGAUUGCUAUUCUGAAGUUUAUUGUAAAGAAAGUGAAGAGUGAGAUAGGAUCUGCACUUGUGCUAAUAUAACAUAUACUUGUGCAGGUGCAGGUUUCGUUUUGAAAAUCCAAUUUGUUUAUCCUUUUGUUGUUGUAUUCUUGGAUUGAAGGGACUGUGUGACAAGGUGAAAGAGCUAAUAGUUGUAGUUUUACACCAAUGCAAUUUGUUUUGUUUCAGUAUUGGACAUGGCGUGCGAGAGACACUUGUAUUGUUGUUGCUUGAUCCAAUCGACACCCGUCUCAUCUUCUUACGAUCCGAUCGGAGUUAUGUUCUCAAAUCCUUACUCGUGUUUCAUCUUAUUUUGGUUUUCUUAGGUCCGUGGCAGCAGCGGCAUCCAUGCAUGGUUAUGAGCUCUAUCACUUUGAUAGCUACAAGUUGCAGAGGGCACUUCGACAGCUACAAGUUGCGGAGGUUCGGGAUCCUUCCUCGCAGCAGCCACUCCUGGAAGAAUGAGCAGCGCGCCACACGGAUCGAACCCGGUCGAGAUCACUCACCAAGAUUGCUAUUCUAAACUUUUUUGUGAACAAAGUGAAGAGUGGGACAGGAUCUGCACUUGUGUUAAUAUAACAUAUACUUGUGUGGGUGUAGAUUUUGUUUUAAAAGUCCAAUUUGUUGAUCCUUUUGUCGCUGAAAAUUGUUUACUAAUUAUGACAUUUGUUUUAUUUCUUCUAGAUGUUGUAUAUUCUUGGAUUGAAGGGACUGUCUGACAAGGCGAAAUAGCUAAU
rnacentral:lncRNA from 1 species